GGGAAGAGAUGUCUUCCCUGUCUCAAAUUUGAACAAAAUUCAUCCCGGAGAUUUUAUGAUGUCCAUCAGCUUGUGUAUAUCUUAUCAUUUAUACUUUAAAACCCAGUGAUUUCUUCCUUUUAUUACCAGUAUCUAUGCACUUCCACAAGUAUAUCAACCCAGCACAAACUUAACAUAACACCCUAUAGGACCCUAAUUUUACUGUAUAUGAAACACUUUGGUACAUAACUAUUAUAGCAAUUUAAUGCACCCUGCACCCAAGUCAUCGCCGGCUAUUCUGUGAUAUUAUCUUACGAUACUUGCUAGGGUAACUCUUAAGGUUGUAAUUUUUAGCUUAUGGGUACUUCUCGCUUUAUAUUCAUGACAAACCAUUAUUGAAAAUGUUAAUGUAUACUGCUGACAAAUCUUGUGAUACAAUGUACAUUGCUAUAUACUGAUAUUACUUUCUGUUCAUCACAGUAUUCAUUCAUGUAAAAAUUUUUAAGCUUUAUCUAUAUUCAUAAAUACAUGUAUGUUACAUGCACCUGAUGAUUUCAGAUGAUAGAAUAAUCUUGUAUCAAAAAAAAAUCAAAUUCUAUUUUUAUAUAUAAAACAGAGAAUAAAUACAUUUAUAAAAUC
rnacentral:misc_RNA from 1 species